rnacentral:misc_RNA from 1 species
CGCCUUGAGCCUUUGAUAACUAUAUUUGGGACUAGCUCAGCAAAAACUACUUAGACGGAGUUGUUAUAAUUCUCUCCACUUAAGAAAUUUUGUUCACAAAAUUUCAAAACUCAAGCAAGCAUCAACCAUACCAUAUACCACUACUAAUGCUAAUAUUACUGCUCUAGAGUGCUCUAGAGUUAGUCGCCAUCUUAUUCUAAUAGUUGCAUUCCUGGGAAAAUCUCUUUUUAGUAAUAAUAUUUAAAUUUAUUUAGCUUGCAUUUCUAGCUAGGCUAGCUUUCACAUUUAAACAUAAAGGACAAAUCCUUAUUAACUAGUUAGCCCCUCAAACACCAACAUGUAUUUAGUACUCACUUAAAUAAAGCUACUUAUAAGCUAUCACAUUAAAAAUUGUUUGGUUCGUGUUCAACUCACUAUCUUCAUGAUAACCACUAUCAUUCAUAAGGCACUAUCUUAGAUUAAUCUCUCAUUAAUGUAUAGUUGCCUUUGUUUUGCAAAAAACAAUGAACCUCCUUUUGUCCUAAAUAUCGUUUACUAAUAAUUACUAUCCUUUUAUAACUCCAACUAGUAUUCCACUCUAUACAUGAAAGCUCUACCAUACAGAUAUUAUAAUCUUAUACAUUUCAUUCUACCACUUAACCUUCAUCUAUAUCUUAUUAUCAUUCUAGCAUAGAGAUACUAUCAUCUGCCAUUUAUAGCUAGCAGUCUUAAUAACUAAUUAAGGAAACUAUUUCUAAAACUAUUUUUCUUUCUCCAAGUACAACACUCCUCCUAAUUCCCAUCAUUUAUUCCCCAACAAUUACUAAACAAUGAUGCUAAAUCAUAGCCUCAAUUCCUUUAAUAAAUCAAAUCUCCAAAAAUCUCUUUCACAAUUUGAUUAAUUCCCUCCAAAGCAUCCUACAUGCACAUACAAGAAUCCAAAAAAUCUUAUUGGUAUUAAAAUCCAAAUGUGAACCAGAAAUUCAUGUUAGUGCAUACCAAUCUUUCUAAAACCCAAAGGCACUUCUUCAAGUGACUAUAAAAGGAAAAGAAAGAAAAACAGUAUCUUCAGCAAACAAAAAAUUAUAGUUUUUCAAGAUACAAAAAAUGAG